ensembl:lncRNA
GAAUUUAGACCGCAACUAGUUGAACCAAGUGUGUUAGUGUUGUACUGGAACUAAAGCCUGCACACUGCAGCCAGUAUUCGAGGAUGUUCUCCAAGUAUGACAUGCAGUAUUUAAUUCAGUGUUGACCUGCCCACAAACAAUGUGUUGAAUACAACUCGCAUACCAAACAGACAAGCACUUGGGCUCCUGUACUGCCUCCACAAUGAAGGGUGAAAACAGCCCUAACUACAAUCAUCUGACUUGGUGAUUAAUCAGUCAUAUUUAUAGGAAACACUACUAAUCUCUUGUUUUCCACUUCCUGUGGGUUAUAAUUGGUUGGCUCUCCUGAAGUGUCUGCACAUUAGGGCCCAGAGUUGUUCCUAGGCUGUAACUAGGACCCAGAGUUUUACCUGGUCAGAUUAACAUGGACAUGGUGCAUAUUGAGAACUUAGCUUGACUUCUUUCCUUUAAAUAUUUUUUGUAAGAUAAAAAAAAUAUUACCGGAACACUAUUGUAUUUAGGACCACUUGAUUUAUUUUUUAAUCUAAGGAAACCUGAGGGUUAAAUGUUUUAGUUGGUGUAUAAAAUAUACAAUGCUGUUUUUGUUUUUCUUUAUUUUGUAUGUAAACCAAAUGUAAAUGAUGUAUUAUACUGUGUGCCAACCCAACUUUCUCUAGAGCCAGGCUCUCUCUCUCUCUCUUAAGUGCCAACGCUGACAUCAUCAUCAGGGGACAGCCACUUGGAUGGUCCCAUUUUUAAGAACACCAGAGACCUAAACACCUGGCAUGUUUAACUACGCCACCCCUAACAAAAACUAUAAGUACACUUUUUUUUAAAUUGUGUAAUUAUACAAUUGCAUGUAUUUAGUGUUGGGAGGAGGUGAAGGCUCAGAAAAAUGUAUUGGCUGAUGCAGAGACCUUGAUGAAAGGGUGGAAUCGGUUAUUGAUUGAUCGGUUGGUUAUUAUGGAUUAUUGAUUUGCAUUACUCUCGCCAUAUUUCUUUUCUUAUUUUAUGUGUGUUUUCAUGCAUUUGUUUCAACCACUGUUGCCUGAUCCUCAUUCAAACAUGAACAUGAUUUAUUACGAUCAUCGUCGCCUUCUAAGAGAGAACAUAAUGACAAGGUAUCUGUUUUAAAUUGAAAUAAAUUUGUUCGUAUACUUGCUGA